rnacentral:lncRNA from 12 species
CUUAUUGUCUACAGAAAUCUUGUCCCUUUGUAUGACAUCAAGUUGCCAAAAAGAUAUUCAUCUUAAUGUUUUCACAUGUACAUCAAAAGAAUAUGAAUGCUUCCAAGAUGUUAUUCUGUUUCGUUGAAUUUCACAGCUUUGCAUCCCAAGUCAGGAAGCUGUAGUGGAGCUGUGCUGAUACACCAGUGCUGAAUGCCAGGACACCCAUAUGCAGACACAUAUGCUGGACCAGGAGCCAGUGCUCUAGCACUCGGAGGCUCGCAGGAAGACGGUAGGCCGCACCAGGCUGGCUUUGUCCUCAGGUGGCCCUGGUGUCUUCUGCUCUGCAUCCAGGGGUCACCGUGCCUCUUCCCUGUGGGAGAGUAGAGAAGAACUGUUGACCAAGAUGCCUAAGGAUGGAAGCAAAGGAUGGAAGCAAAGCACAGAGUUCAUACACUUUUCCAGUAUUACAGUGAUGCCUGGAUUCUUUGCUUUUCUCAUUUCUGUGCUAAAAGCUUCCAAAGAGAUCAUCAUCUCCGCGGAAUAGAAUUCCUUUGCCUAAGGCCUAACUCAGAGGGAUACUUAUCUACAAAAAAUGCCAACCAGGAGGGGUGGCGUGAGCUGGGUCUUGGUCCACAUCCUGCCCGUCCACCGUGUUUAUCCUUGGUCACCAUGUGCAAUCCGUAUUUCCUUCUCCAUCCACCUCGAUUUCUAGCAGCUGCUGAGGACUUGGUUUAUCUGUUAGUGUUGCGUUUUGCUGUGAAUAACAGAAACCCUGACGAGACAUGACUAAACAAGUUAGGAUUUUAACUUUUCCUGUGAAACAAGAAGGCUGGAAGCAGGCACCAGAGAGCUCCACCGUGUACUCAAGGACCCCCUGGGCCACCUCUGUUUUCUACCCAGCAGUUUUUAGCAUGUGGUUUUUGUUCUCAUGCUUGUCACCUUAUGGUUCCACUUCAGGCAUCACAUCUGUGUUCCAGACAGGAAGAGGGGGAAAGGUGAAGGAAAAAGUGCAGGCCCAAUGAGUUGGCUCUCUCAUUUUCAUAAAAAUUUUAUAGUGAUAUAUAACAUAUAUACAGAAAAAUUCACAAAUCACAACUGUACCGCUUGAUGAAUUUUUACAAAGUGAACGCAGUCAUGUGCCUGGCACCUAGGACAAGAACUGGAACAGUCCCAGAACCUCAUAAUCUUCCUCAUUGCCUCAGAGGUCCUUCUUCUAUACCCAAAGGAACAGCAUAGAUUAAUUUUGCCUGAUUUUGAGCUUUAUGGAAAUGUACAGCAUGUACUCUUUUGUGUCUGGCUUCCUUUGCUUAAUAUAAUGUUUGUGGGAUUUGACUAUAUUAUUGCAUGUAAUUUUAGGAUAUUUAUUCUCACUGCUAUGUUAUUCCAGUGUGUGAAUAUAAUUUUUUAAAAAUCCGUUCCAGUAUUGGUGGGCAUUCAGAUAGCUUGCAGGUUUUAGCCAUUAUAGAAAUAGGACUUUAAUGACUUCUACAAAGUCUGCAAAGACUUCUACAAGUCUUCUGGUGAAUAUAUGUUCACAUUUCUGUGGAUAUAUCUCAAGAGGAAGAGUCCCUGAGUUAUGGAUUAUGCUUGAAUUUAGCUAUGAUACUGCCAAACCGUCUCCCGGAGUAUUUGUGCUCAUUUACUGUUCCAUCAACAGUGUAUAAAAGUUUUGGUUGCCCCACAUCCUUGUCAGCACUUGGUAUUAUCCGACUCUUUCAUUUUAGCCAUCCUGGUGGGUGUUAUACUGUAUUUUUAAUUUCUGUUUUCCUGAUAACUGGUCUAUCAACUGAAGUUGAACAACUUUUCGUAUGUAUAUGUUUAUAGGCUAUUUGGAUAUCCUAUUUUAGUGACGUACCUGUUCACAUUUUUUGUUUUAUUGUCUUUACGUUGUUGGUCAUUUUCAUAGUUUAGUUAGAGAUCCCUACAUCUUCUGAAUAUGAAUCUUGUGUUAAUUAGUUUUCUGGGGCAAGUACUACACAAUACCACAGACUGGGUGGUUUAAACAACAGAAAUUUAUUUUCUCAUUGUUCUGGAGGCUCGAAGUCCAAGAUCAAGGUGUCAACAGGAUUAGUUUCUCCAGACGCUCCAGGAUUAGUUUCUCUUAGCCCCUGUCCUUGGCUUGACCACGGCUGCCUUCUUGCUGCCUCUUUACAUGGCUGUUGCUCUAUGCAUGGCUGUCCCUGCUGCCUCUCUCUCUGUCCCAAUCUUUUCUUACACGGAUACCAGUUAGAUUGGAUUAGGACCCAUCCUAAUGACUUCAUUUUGAUUUAAUUACCUCUUUAGAGACCCUAUUCCCAGGUACAUUACAUUCUGAGGUACUAGGGUUAGAGCUUCAAUAUUUGAAUUUUGUGGGGACAUGAUUCCAUCCAUAAGAAGCUUUUUGUUGGAUAUAUGUAUUGUAAACGUUUCCCCCCACUUUGUUAGUUACCUGCUUAUUCUCUUAAUGUUGUUUUUUUAAAAUAAUUUUUAAAAUUCCAAUGUAACUAACAUAGGUGUACAAUAUAGUGAUUGAACAAUUCUAUGCCUUACUCAGGGCUCAUCACAAUAAGUGUACACUUGAUCUCCUUCACCUAUUUCUCUCAUCCCCCCGCACACCUUCCUUCUGGUAACCACCAGUUUGUUCUUUAUAUGAAAGAGUCUGGUUUUUUUGUUUGUUUGUUUCUCUCUUUUUUUCUUAGUUUUGCUUCUUAAAUUCCACAUGUAAGUGAAAUUAUGGCAUUUGUCAUAUGGUAAUGGUAUCUUUUGAUGAGCUGGGGUUCUUAUUUUUAAUAUUUAAUUUAUCAAUUUUUUCCUUAUACUUGGCACUUUGGGAGCCUAUUUAAAAGACUCUUUGCUGAUUUCAAGGUCAUAAAAAUAUUUCUUAUGUUUUUUUUUUUCUAAAAGCUUUUGCUUUACCUUUACAUUUGGGUGUACAAUAUUUCUGGAAGUAAUUUUUAUUUGUGGUGAGAGAUAGUUAUGAUUUAUAUUUUUCUAUGUGAGCCCAACAUUAUUUAUUGAAAAAACCAUCCUUUUCCUAUAGCAUUGCAGUGUUAUCAUUGUAAACCAGGCAUCCACAUUUGUGUGGAUCUACUUUUGGGUUCUCUUUAUUUUCUUUGGUCUGUUUGUGUAUCCUUAAUUCAAUACCACUGUUUUAUUUAAUAAAAUGGGUCUUGAUAACUAGCGGUUUAAGCCU